rnacentral:rRNA from 1 species
CCUACGGGAGACAGCAGUGGGGGAUAUUGCACAAUGGGGGGAACCCUGAUGCAGCGACGCCGCGUGGGUGAAGAAGCGCCUCUGCGCGUUAAGCCCUGUCAGCAGGGGAGAAAAUGACGGUACGUGAAGAGGAAGCCCCGGCUAACUACGUGCCAGCAGCCGCGGGAAUCCGGCGGGGGGCAGCGGUAUCCCGAUUUAUUGGGGGGAAAGGGGGCGCAGACGGGGAUGCAAGCCAGGAGGGAAAGCCCGGGGCCCAACCCCCGGACUGCCCUUGGAACUGCGUGGCUGGAGUGGAGGAGGGGCAGGCGGAAUUCGCGGUGUAGCGGUGAAAUGCGUAGAUAUCAGGAAGAACACCGGUGGCGAAGGCGGCCUGCUGGACUGAAACUGACGUUGAGGCCCGAAAGCGUGGGGAGCAAACAGGAUUAGAUACCCCAGUAGUC